UGCAAGUCGAGCGGUAGAGAGAGCUUGCUUCUCUUGAGAGCGGCGGACGGGUGAGUAAUGCCUAGGAAUCUGCCUAGUGGUGGGGGAUAACGUUCGGAAACGGACGCUAAUACCGCAUACGUCCUACGGGAGAAAGCGGGGGAUCUUCGGACCUCGCGCCAUUAGAUGAGCCUAGGUCGGAUUAGCUAGUUGGUGGGGUAACGGCUCACCAAGGCGACGAUCCGUAACUGGUCUGAGAGGAUGAUCAGUCACACUGGAACUGAGACACGGUCCAGACUCCUACGGGAGGCAGCAGUGGGGAAUAUUGGACAAUGGGCGAAAGCCUGAUCCAGCCAUGCCGCGUGUGUGAAGAAGGUCUUCGGAUUGUAAAGCACUUUAAGUUGGGAGGAAGGGCAGUAACCUAAUACGUUGCUAUUUUGACGUUACCGACAGAAUAAGCACCGGCUAACUCUGUGCCAGCAGCCGCGGUAAUACAGAGGGUGCAAGCGUUAAUCGGAAUUACUGGGCGUAAAGCGCGCGUAGGUGGUUUGUUAAGUUGGAUGUGAAAGCCCCGGGCUCAACCUGGGAACUGCAUCCAAAACUGGCAAGCUAGAGUACGGUAGAGGGUGGUGGAAUUUCCUGUGUAGCGGUGAAAUGCGUAGAUAUAGGAAGGAACACCAGUGGCGAAUGCGACCACCUGGACUGAUACUGACACUGAGGUGCGAAAGCGUGGGGAGCAAACAGGAUUAGAUACCCUGGUAGUCCACGCCGUAAACGAUGUCAACUAGCCGUUGGGUUCCUUGAGAACUUAGUGGCGCAGCUAACGCAUUAAGUUGACCGCCUGGGGAGUACGGCCGCAAGGUUAAAACUCAAAUGAAUUGACUGGGGCCCGCACAAGCGGUGGAGCAUGUCGGUUAUUCGAGCAC
rnacentral:rRNA from 1 species